rnacentral:rRNA from 1 species
AUGCAAUAUCACCCCCACAAAGAGGUGCUGCUGAAAAUGCCUAGUCCAAACAAUACAUGGGAGGAGAAGCUACAGGAUCCAAGUGCAAUUCCAGUGUCUCUGCCAUUAGAAUUUUUGAAAGGCAUUACAUCUAAUUUUUCCACGGAGCGAGAACUUGGCAGCGGUGGGUAUGGGGUGGUUUACAAGGGGAUUCUUCCGAGUGGAAAAUUUAUUGCCGUGAAGAAGCUUCAUAACUCCUUACAUAAUCUGGGAGAUGAGAACUUCCUGAAGGAGGCCAGUUCUCUUAUGAAGGUCAAUCACCGAAACGUAGUGCAGUUUCUAGGCUAUUGCGCCGAAUCAAGAUUUGAAGCGAUGGACCCGCAAGGAAGUGGGAAAUUAACUUUGGCUGAAAUACCGAAAAGAUUGCUCUGCUUUGAGCAUAUAUGUAAUAAAAGCCUUAGCGAGUAUAUCUCUGAUGAAUCUUUGGGCCUGGAGUGGAACAUGAGAUAUGACAUAAUCAGAGGAAUUUGCGGUGGUUUGCGUUAUCUUCACGAGGAAUGUCAUAUUGUUCAUCUAGACAUGAAACCUGACAAUAUAUUGAUGGAUGCUAAUAUGACACCCAAAAUUGCGGAUUUUGGUUUAUCAAGAAUCUUUGGUGACAAGCAAUCCCAAACCAUCACUCAAAAUCGUUUGGGAACGCCUGGUUAUAUGGCACCAGAAUACAUAUUACGAGGCGCAGUUUCCAUCAAGGCAGAUAUAUACAGCCUGGGUGUUAUAAUUAUCCAGAUACUCAGCGGUUGUACAAACUAUCCAUAUCCCCCAAGCGAGGACAAUAGUCCUGAGAGUACCCAGGCAUCUUUCCAGCACUUCAAAGAGAAUAUACUUGAAAAAUGGAGAAAUAGGCUGCACAAAUUACAGGGAGACACAGUAAUGUUGGAACAAAUACGAGUAUGUGCUGAUUUAGGGGUACAAUGCAUUGCAUCAAACCCAGAUAAUAGGCCCGUUACAAAGCAUAUGAUCGAUAGGCUUGAUGACGUGAAUAUUAUGGACGGAUCCAUCAAAACUGGUGUGCUUAGUACUUCUUCAGUAGCGCAGGUAGGAGAAGCUUUGGAUGCUCUGUGGUUAGGAGUAACGAGCUUCGAGGCAAGUCUUCCCAUAAACAUAAAUUGCAUCCGAGGGGAGGGCCGUGGAGGGCAUCAUGCGAAAUUGAUGGAUUUUUACCAAAAAAUUAGAGCAGCAGAGACCAAACCCGAGAUCAAAGUACCCCUUCAUGGUAUUCAAGAUGAAGGAGAACCGAGCACAGCAUGGGUUGCUAGUCCAGAUGAAUCUUGCGGCUUUGACUGGCACACACGAUAUCAAACAAUUAAAGGAAUUUGUCAAGGCUUGCAUUGUCUUCACGAUGGUGGUAUUGCUCAUCUAGAUCUCAAACCGGAGAAUAUACUAUUUGAUGAGAAAAUGGUUCCGAAAAUAUUGGACUAUGGUCUUUCAAGAGUCUUUAGUGAAGAGAUAAGACAAACUGUUCUUAAUAACAUUGAUGGAUCACUGGCAUACAUGGCAACGCCAGAAUACAAGACUGGUGGAGAAAUCACACUUAAGUCUGACAUAUAUUGUUUGGGGGUUAUAAUUAUGCAGAUAGUAACUGGACAAAGCAAAAAGAACUACCCAAAUAUAGCAAGUAUAGUUGAAAGUUGGAGAAGUAGGUUGGAAUUAAAUGCAUCGAAGGGCAGGCACACAUUUGAAACAUGUUACCAGCAAGUGCAAGUAUGCAUUGAGAUAGGGAUACGCUGCAUGGACGAUGACCCAGGGAAAAGACCCGUUACACGGUAUAUCGUCAAUAAGCUUGAUAACAAGGAAACGAAACAGUCAAUCAGAUGUGGCAUGGUGCUUAAGCUGGAAAUCAACGGCAAGCGCUGCAUAUCAUCGUUCAUCCUGAGGAUUGCGUCAAAGCUCGAAGGGAUAAAGUCGAUGACAGUUGACGAGGAGAAGAGCACGCUGAUGGUUGUGGGGACCGUGGAUGUGGUGAAGCUCGUGACGGUGCUGCGCAAGGCGAAGCACCUGGCGCAUGUAAUUACGGUGGGAAGUGCAGAGAACGUGGUGUACCAGUCCGACAGCAUCGACGUCCACGACCAAGAGUCCGACUCCUGCACCAUCAUAGAAGAACCGUCACAUUUUCAGGAUCGCCCAUUGGAUGGACCCAAGCAACAUGAUCUCAAGACCUACACAGUUUACCGUUUGCCCAAGACAGUAACAGUAUUUGCAGAAGCUCCAACAGUGCUUCACACAAGAGCUGUGACACCUUGUAAUUUCGCCGGUGACUCCAUCCCGUCCGCCGCGUACACGAUCGCCAGGAGAGCAGGUCUCCGAAACCCCGUCUCUCCGGUUCUUGUACGGGAGAGGGACUGCUCGCUGUUCGUCUACUUCCUCUACGUCCGCGUCGCCCUCAUCAUCAUCAUGUCCACCGACGCCGAACGCGCAGCCGCCGAGAAGCUCAAGGCCGACAAGAAGGCCGCCGAGGACACCGCUGCUGCCGCCACCGCCGCGGCGGCUUCUGCCUGGCCUACUGGAGGCCGCCGAGAAGCUCGAGGCCGACAAGAAGGCCGCCGAGGACACCGCUGCUGCCGCCACCGCCGCGGCGGCUUCUGCCUGGCCUACUCGAGGCACAUCAUGUGUCAAUCUGCUUCCGAUGAGGCGUGGGUCCAAAUAUCUACUUUUGAAGCAUCUCCACUAGGCUCCCCAAAACGCCCCCAAGCACCUUUUUUAGCGCCGGUUGUAAAAAAUGCUCCCAGUCACGCCCCACGACCUCGUUUUGCGCCGGAUUUCAGCAAAAACAGCGCCGGCGACCCCGGGCAAAACCCAGCGCCCCGGGGGGCAUUUGGGACGCCCGGCGCUACUUUUCCUCCAUGCAAAGCCCACCAGCCAACCUCUCUCCUCUCUCUCCCCCCUUCUUCUCAAGCAGAGCUCCUCGCUCCGGCCGCGCUCGCCGCCAUGCCUCCCGGCCGCUGUCUCCUUACUGCCCACCGAGCCCUCGCACUGACCGCAACGCCUCCUCGCCGCCCGUGCUCACCGAGCGCCCUCGCCUUGGCUGCCGCGCGCCUUCGCCACGCCUCCUCGCCGCUCCAGCACAGCUGGACGAACGGGCCGCCGGGCGAGACGGGCGCAGGGACGCGGGCGUGCCCUCGGGCACCCAGGACGGCACGCUCCGGCGACCUGAGCGUGGCGGAGGAGGCAUGCCGGGGGAAGGAGGCCGAGGCGAAGGUGCGCAGCAGGGCGCACGAGCUGCGGCGCGAGGAGGAGCGGGUAGGGCCGGCGAGGUCCCAGCGGAGCGCCUGGGCGCAGGCGACUAGGCGAGCAUGGGCGGGCGGCCGUGCGCGGCGUGCGAGCGGGGCCGCGACCCGGAGCGCAGCACGCGGUGAAGGGGAGGCGCGCUCGCCUGUGCGUGGCCGGGAAGGAGCUCCGGCACGGGGUCUGGGGCGCCACGUUGCCGCGCGCGAACUCGCGCACUCCGGCCGCUCCCCCUCCUCCUCGUCCACCUCCCUCUGUUCCGGCCUCCACGAUGCGGCCGGUCGGGCCCGGGGCGGCGAAGUCGAUGGGUGGAGGGUGGAGGAGAGCAGCGCGGGGCAGGCCGUGGCGGAGGCGCAGGGCUCGAGCAGCGCGGGCUUGGACGCGGCGCCGGGUGGCCCCGUGCAGGCAAGCGCAGCGAGGAGGAGCAGGAGGAGGAGGCGGCGGUGGAGUGGGAUUAAGGUGUCUAUCAACUGUGGGAAAUGCAGAUCAUGCAUCGUGCAGACUGUGGCAAAAAUCAAAGGGAUCAAGUCGAUGACAUCUAACGGGGACGACAGUGUGCUGACAGUGGCGGGCGACUUUGACGGGGCUGUUCUCGUGGCCGCACUGCAAGAGAUGAAGCACCCGCAAUUUUAA